rnacentral:misc_RNA from 1 species
GAUGAAGAACGUAGCGAAAUGCGAUAAGUAAUGUGAAUUGCAGAAUUCCGUGAAUCAUCGAAUCUUUGAACGCACAUUGCGCCCCCUGGUAUUCCGGGGGGCAUGCCUGUCCGAGCGUCAUUGCAACCCUCAAGCGCGGCUUGUGUGUUGGGCUUCGUCCCCCCGUGGACGUGCCCGAAAGGCAGAGGCGGCGUCCCGAAUGGUGCCCGAGCGUAUGGGAACUCUCUUCCGCUCGAACCGGCCCAUUCGGCGCUGGUCGAACCCCAAUUUUUUUUUACCGGUUGACCUCGGAUCAGGUAGGGAUACCCGCUGAACUUAAGCAUAUCAAUAAGCGGAGGA